rnacentral:tRNA from 1 species
GGCCAAAUGGUUGAGAAGUUUACGUUGCAGCUACGAAGUCACCGGUUCGAUCCCGGUUUUGGCCU